rnacentral:rRNA from 1 species
UACGGGGGGGGCGAGCGUUGUUCGGAAUUAUUGGGCGUAAAGGGCGCGUAGGCGGUGUGGCAAGUCAGGUGUGAAACCUCCAGGCUCAACUUGGAGCUUGCAUCUGAAACUGCCGUGCUAGAGUGUGGGAGAGGAGAGUGGAAUCCCUGGUGUAGCGGUGAAAUGCGUAGAUAUCAGGAGGAACACCGGUGGCGAAGGCGGCUCUCUGGACCACAACUGACGCUGAGGCGCGAAAGCUAGGGGAGCAAACAGG